AUCCUUUUGUAGUUUAUAAGCGUGAUGAUUGGGUGUUCAGGCCAUUGUGUGACAUGUGCCACCCUUAAACCCUGUUACGAUGCCGGCACAUUACCUGUCUGACG
rnacentral:snoRNA from 1 species